rnacentral:lncRNA from 1 species
GUUUAAAGCAAUCCCCAUUAGUGCUAAAUAGAGGUAAUUUGGUAUAGAAGUCUUCUGCCCUCAAAGAGUCAUGCUGUGCUACCAAGGACUAGGUGAAGGCACACCAGCUGAUGUCACAAUGGCUCCACAUCCUGCCACAACAGUGUUGCAACCUGCUGUCUUUUGCAUCUCUGAUUUAGAAUGCAAGAUGGAUCUAGCCCAGCAGAGCCACUGAACCCUAAGGACAUUCCUUUGAACACCAGCAUAAACUAUUUGAGGUGCUAUAGUGUCCAGUUUGCAGAAGUCUGGGGAUGAGGAGACCAGUGCUGCUGUGCCUCUGAAGCACUGUUUGGUCCCAGAUAAGCAGAGCCUGUGCUACUGUGUGCAGGUGCUGCUGCUCCUGUUCGGCUGAGAGGCUGGCAGGGGCCAUGCACAUGGCUGUACAGGGCUGUUUGUCACCCACAGCAUGUCUGCCGUCCUGGAGUGUCCUUCUUGAGAGCAAGGGGUGGCCUCCCCAGCAGCAUUUUCUCAUAAAAGCAGCUUGAAUGAUCUCACUGUCUGCAGACCAACCUGGGUCUCAGCCUGGGCUAGAGAGUGGUGACCAGGUGUACCUCUUCUGAAGCACUGGAAAAUCCUGGACUCAGGACCGCAGGCAAUGUGAUGCCAUGGAAGAGUGUGGGAGGGAGCAGGGAAGGGACACCAAUGUCCUUUCAGUGUGCAGGCAGCAGCAGGAAAGCUCCCGGUGCAGAAGCUGACACUGAAGCUAUCUUUAUGGCCAGCCUCAGCAGGCUUUGAACCACGCCACAGCAGCACAAGCGUGUACAUGUAUAAUCUCAGUGUAGGAAGCCAGAGCUAUGAAGGAUCCUCACACAAAGUGUACAUCUCCUCUUGCAUUUUCAUAAUUAUAAUCAUUCACAAAUGCAACAGCUGGUAGGUGGAUCCCACUUUUGGGUUAAAUAUAGGAAUAUAUAUAUAUAUAUAUAUAUCUGCCUAAUAGAAUAGUUAUCAAAGACUUUGAUUUUGAAUCAAAAAUAAAUUUAACUUUUAAUAAGCCA